rnacentral:sRNA from 1 species
GGUUCCGGUUGCAUCAGCGUGGGAUUCACGGCGAAAUGAGGCUGUUCGUGAGUGAGGGCGUCCCGGGUUGCUUGCCGGUGCUGGCCGCAGCCGGCAGAGCCCGGGGUAGAGCAGAGGUGCUCAUCAGCACCGUAGGCCCCGAAGAUUGUGUGGUCCCGUUCCUGACCCGGCCUAAGGUCCCUGUCUUGCAGCUGGAUAGUGGCAACUACCUCUUCUCCACUAAUGCAAUCUGCCGAUAUUUCUUUUUGUUAUCUGGCUGGGAGCAAGAUGACCUCACUAACCAGUGGCUGGAAUGGGAAGCGACACAGCUGCAGGUAGGACUAAGGUAUGGGAGAUGUCAGGCAGGCCCUUGCUCUGCGUGGCCAUCCUGACUCAUGUCCCCUGCAUUUUAGCCAACUUUGUCUGCUGCCCUGUACUAUUUAGUGGUCCAAGGCAAGAAGGGGGAAGAUGUUCUUGGUUCAGUGCGGAGAGCCCUGACUCACAUUGACCACAGCUUGAGUCGUCAGAACUGUCCUUUCCUGGCUGGGGAGACAGAAUCUCUAGCCGACAUUGUUUUGUGGGGAGCCCUAUACCCAUUACUGCAAGAUCCCGCCUACCUCCCUGAGGAGCUGAGUGCCCUGCACAGCUGGUUCCAGACACUGAGUACCCAGGAGCCAUGUCAGCAAGCUGCAGAGACUGUACUGAAACAGCAAGGUGUCCUGGCUCUCCGGCCUUACCUCCAAAAGCAGCCCCAGCCCAG